rnacentral:rRNA from 1 species
GAGACCCACGCCCACAGUUGCCAGCGUUCCCUCCGGGGAGAUGGGUACUCCGUGGGGACCGCCGCUGCUAAAGCGGAGGAAGGAAUGGGCAACGGUAGGUCAGUAUGCCCCGAAUGUCCCGGGCUACACGCGGGCUGCAAUGGUAGGGACAGAGGGCUCCAACCUCGAAAGGGGGAGGUAAUCCCUAAACCCUAUCUCAGUUGGGAUUGAGGGCUGAAACCCGCCCUCAUGAACAUGGAAUCCCUAGUAAUCGCACGUCAUCAUCGUGCGGUGAAUAC